UACGGGGGGGGUAAGCGUUGUUCGGAAUUACUGGGCGUAAAGGGCUCGUAGGCGGCCAACUAAGUCAGACGUGAAAUCCCUCAGCUUAACUGGGGAACUGCGUCUGAUACUGGAUGGCUUGGAUUCGGGAGAGGAAUGCGGAAUUCCAGGUGUAGCGGUGAAAUGCGUAGAUAUCUGGAGGAACGCCGGUGGCGAAGGCGGCGUUCUGGACUGCAACUGACACUGAAAAACGAAAGCCAGGGGAGCAAACGGG
rnacentral:rRNA from 1 species